rnacentral:ncRNA from 2 species
AAAUUUGCAUCCAAGUUUGGUUUUCCGAUCUGUGUUUCGCAGACGGAAUGAAAAGGGAAUCCGGUGAUUCCGUAAGGAAAAUUCCGGAGCUGUACCCGCAGCUGUAAGUUCUUUAAUAGGUUUUUGAUAUUCUUCGCCACUGGUAAAUCAGUUAUCAGUGUUCAGUUGUCAGUAUUCAGUUAUCGCUGUCCACUGCUCACUGUUCACUGCUCACUGAAACCGGGAAGGCCUUCAAAAACCGGAACGAGCCAGAAGACCUGCCAUAUGAACACCAUUUAU